rnacentral:tmRNA from 1 species
GGGGACGUUACGGAUUCGACAGGGGUAGGUCGGGUUUAAGUUGCGAGCCGAGGGGGUCGGCCUCGUUAAAACGCCAAAGCCUAUAACUGGCAAAGAAAACAACAACCUCGCUUUUGCUGCGUAAGUAGCAUAGCGGUUCCUCCCUCCAUCGCCCAUGUGGUAGGGUAAGGGACUCAACUAAGUGGGAUACGCCGGACGCCCGCCUCCUGAGGGCUAUGGAAGAGAACAAUCGGGAUAGCGGCACUGAAGCCUGUCGAUAGGCCGGCGUGACCGCGAAACGCUAAUAUAUCGACUACGCUCGUAGAAGCUUAAAUUACGAUAUCUCUGGACGUGGGUUCAACUCCCACCGUCUCCACCA